UGUCAUUACCUUUCUGAGAUGUUCUCUCCCUGGAUUGUAAGAACUUUUGCCCGGCUUUAUGCCGGGCUUUUUCUUUUCUGCG
rnacentral:sRNA from 1 species